GCUCCGGCCCGGCCUCCUCCAGGCCGCACAGGCUGUGGAGGAGUGGGGCCGGCUCCACCAGAGCUCAGAUACCUUCUGAGGCCAGAAGCCGAGAGAGAGUUCCUGGGUUUGUGGUUUUUAAAAUGUGGAUCUCACAGAGCAUAUGAACUGUGUUUGAAGAAAAAUCCUGGAUGAGUAUCACCAGAGGUGUUACUAAAGGAGCAUCAGCUACUCUACAGGCAAGAGAAGGAACUUUUUCAGCCUUUUGGUUCAUGCACUGAGAAGCACUUCUGAUAUCAAUCCCAUAAAUGAUACCAGGGUCAUUUGACUGCCGCCAUCACUUAGAAGUGCUCUAUGUAUUUGUAACUUGUGGUCUAAAAGGACAAGGAGCUCUGAAUCACACUGGGACCCUCUUUACUGGUAUUGCUAACACAGUUGGAUUCCUGUACUGUAAAGGUGGUAAAGAUGAAGGAGCUACAAAUGACUAGGCUUAAGGAACAGGAAGGUAAAAAGCUAUGCAAUUCCGUGAUUCAAAUGAUUUUGGAGAGUCUUAGCUGAUAAAAAUCAUCACAAAACCAUCAGAAGCAAAACAACUCGAUGACUUAGAGCAGCUGUGUGGUCAUACUUUUUUAAGGGUUCAGCUGGCACAAGCAGCUUCAGUUGUUACAGACCUCUUUCCACUCCUUAUGCAAGAAGGUGGCGAGUUUUAUUUGUGCUGCUUCCACCUCAGCAGUUUUGCAGUGUCAGAUAUGUGGUAUCAAAUCUCCAGAGGAAACACAAAGGGGAGUGCAGCUGGUUCAUUCCUGACACCCUAUGGUGCUCAGAACUAGAGGAUGAUUGUGAUGGCAGCAGAACAAAGCCAAGGUCCUAAAAUACAAACCUGACAACCACAUUGGAAUUCAACCUGUAUUUGAAUACUUCGUUAGAUUUAGUGAAAAAAACAGAGAAUUUAUGUAGAUGUGACUUCAAUGUGUUUGGACCCUGAUUGACUACUGAAGGAAAUCCCUUGCUGGUCUUAGCCUUUUGGAUACAACUGCAGGAAGUAUGUACCUACACCUUUGUAAGUUGCAGUUUAUGUGUUUCAAUUUUGUGUCAACAAAAUGAAACUAUGAAAAGGUAAGGGAGGCCACCAAUAAACCAGGACAAGCAAUCAUUCAGCUCAGAACCUUAUCUCUGAAAGUGGAUGGAUGAGAAUUGCUAGAGCAAAACAAAAGAACAAGGACUUUUUUUACUGCU